GGCCCUGCCCCCCGCCGAAGGGGAAAAUGCCCGGCGCCCCCGAGGCCGUGUCGGGGGACGGCUCGGGCACGAGCCGCCAGAGGAAGCUGGAGGCGCUGAUCCGAGACCCUCGCUCACCCAUCAACGUGGAGAGCUUGCUGGAUGGAUUAAAUUCCUUGGUCCUUGAUUUGGAUUUUCCUGCUUUGAGGAAAAACAAGAAUAUAGAUAAUUUCUUAAAUAGAUAUGAGAAAAUUGUGAAAAAGAUCAGAGGUCUACAGAUGAAGGCAGAAGACUACGAUGUUGUAAAAGUUAUUGGAAGAGGUGCUUUUGGUGAAGUCCAGUUGGUUCGUCAUAAGGCAUCACAGAAGGUUUAUGCUAUGAAGCUUCUUAGUAAGUUUGAAAUGAUAAAAAGAUCAGAUUCUGCUUUUUUCUGGGAAGAAAGAGAUAUUAUGGCCUUUGCCAACAGUCCCUGGGUGGUUCAGCUCUUUUGUGCCUUUCAAGAUGAUAAAUAUCUGUACAUGGUAAUGGAGUACAUGCCUGGUGGAGACCUUGUAAACCUUAUGAGUAACUAUGAUGUACCUGAAAAGUGGGCCAAAUUUUAUACUGCUGAAGUGGUUCUUGCUUUGGAUGCCAUACACUCCAUGGGUUUAAUUCACAGAGAUGUGAAGCCUGACAAUAUGCUCUUGGAUAAACACGGACAUCUAAAAUUAGCAGAUUUUGGCACAUGUAUGAAGAUGGAUGAAACAGGCAUGGUGCAUUGUGAUACAGCAGUUGGAACACCUGAUUAUAUAUCACCUGAAGUUCUGAAAUCACAAGGGGGUGAUGGUUACUAUGGAAGAGAAUGUGAUUGGUGGUCUGUGGGUGUUUUCCUUUUUGAGAUGCUGGUGGGAGACACUCCAUUUUAUGCAGAUUCACUUGUAGGGACAUACAGCAAAAUCAUGGAUCAUAAAAACUCACUAUGUUUCCCUGAAGAUGCAGAAAUUUCUAAACAUGCGAAGAAUCUCAUCUGUGCCUUCUUAACAGAUAGGGAGGUACGACUUGGGAGAAAUGGGGUAGAAGAAAUCAAACAACAUCCUUUCUUUAAGAAUGAUCAGUGGAAUUGGGAUAACAUAAGAGAGACGGCAGCUCCUGUGGUACCUGAACUCAACAGUGACAUAGACAGCAGCAAUUUUGAUGAUAUUGAAGAUGACAAAGGAGAUGUGGAAACCUUUCCAAUUCCUAAAGCUUUUGUGGGGAAUCAGCUGCCUUUUAUAGGAUUUACCUAUUAUAGAGAAAAUUUGUUAUUAAGUGACUCUCCUCCCUCUUGUAGAGAAAAUGAUUCAAUACAGUCAAGGAAGAAUGAAGAAAGUCAAGAGAUUCAGAAAAAACUGUACACAUUAGAAGAACACCUUAGCACUGAGAUACAAGCCAAAGAGGAACUAGAGCAGAAGUGCAAAUCUGUUAAUACUCGUCUAGAGAAAGUAGCAAAGGAGCUAGAAGAAGAGAUUAACUUACGGAAAAAUGUGGAAUCAGCAUUAAGACAAUUAGAAAGAGAGAAGGCGCUUCUUCAGCACAAAAAUGCAGAAUAUCAGCGGAAAGCUGAUCAUGAAGCAGACAAGAAACGAAAUUUGGAAAAUGAUGUUAACAGUUUAAAAGAUCAACUUGAAGAUUUGAAAAAAAGAAAUCAGAACUCUCAGAUAUCUACUGAGAAAGUGAAUCAACUCCAGAGACAACUGGAUGAAACCAAUGCUUUGCUGCGAACAGAAUCGGAUACUGCAGCCCGGUUAAGAAAAACCCAGGCAGAAUGUUCAAAACAGAUUCAGCAGCUGGAAUCUAACAAUAGAGAUCUACAAGAUAAAAACUGCCUGCUGGAGACUGCCAAGUUAAAACUUGAAAAGGAAUUUAUUAAUCUCCAGUCAGUUCUCGAAUCUGAAAGGAGGGACCGGACCCAUGGAUCAGAGAUUAUUAAUGAUUUACAAGGUAGAAUAUCUGGCCUAGAAGAAGAUUUAAAGAAUGGCAAAAUCUUAUUAGCAAAAGUAGAGGUGGAGAAGAGACAACUACAGGAGAGAUUUACUGAUUUGGAAAAGAUCAAGCAAUCUCAACAAGGAUCUCACAACAGAGUGGAGGUGUGGGAGAUGGGUACAGUGGGGAGCGAACAGGAGAAGAACAACAUGGAAAUAGAUAUGACAUACCAACUCAAAGUUAUACAGCAGAGCUUAGAACAGGAAGAAGCGGAACAUAAGGCUACAAAAGCACGGCUGGCAGAUAAAAAUAAGAUUUAUGAAUCCAUUGAAGAGGCUAAGUCAGAAGCCAUGAAAGAAAUGGAGAAAAAGCUCUUGGAGGAAAGAACUUUAAAACAGAAAGUGGAGAACUUGUUGCUGGAGGCUGAGAAAAGAUGUUCUAUAUUAGACUGUGACCUCAAACAGUCACAGCAGAAAAUAAAUGAACUCCUCAAACAAAAAGAUGUGCUAAAUGAGGAUGUUAGAAACUUGACAUUAAAAAUAGAGCAGGAAACUCAGAAGCGCUGCCUUACACAAAAUGACUUGAAGAUGCAAACACAGCAAGUUAACACACUAAAAAUGUCAGAAAAGCAGUUAAAACAAGAAAAUAAUCAUCUCAUGGAAAUGAAAAUGAGUUUGGAAAAACAGAAUGCUGAACUUCGAAAAGAACGCCAAGAUGCAGAUGGGCAAAUGAAAGAGCUCCAAGACCAGCUUGAAGCAGAGCAGUAUUUCUCAACCCUCUAUAAAACACAGGUUAGGGAACUUAAAGAAGAAUGUGAAGAAAAGACCAAACUUUGUAAAGAAUUACAGCAGAAGAAACAGGAAUUACAGGAUGAAAGGGAUUCCUUGGCUGCUCAGCUGGAGAUCACCUUGACCAAAGCAGAUUCUGAACAGCUGGCUCGCUCAAUUGCUGAAGAGCAGUAUUCUGAUUUGGAAAAAGAGAAAAUCAUGAAAGAGCUGGAGAUCAAGGAGAUGAUGGCUAGACACAAACAGGAGCUCACUGAAAAAGAUGCUACAAUUGCAUCUCUUGAAGAAACUAAUAGGACACUAACUAGUGAUGUUGCCAAUCUUGCAAAUGAGAAAGAAGAGUUAAAUAACAAAUUGAAAGAUGCCCAAGAGCAACUGUCAAGGUUGAAGGAUGAAGAAAUAAGUGCAGCAGCUAUUAAAGCACAAUUUGAGAAGCAGCUAUUAACAGAGAGAACACUCAAAACUCAAGCUGUGAAUAAGUUGGCCGAGAUCAUGAAUCGGAAAGAACCUGUCAAACGUGGUAGUGACACAGAUGUGCGGAGAAAAGAGAAGGAGAAUAGAAAGCUACAUAUGGAGCUUAAAUCUGAACGUGAGAAACUGACGCAGCAGAUGAUCAAGUAUCAGAAAGAACUGAAUGAAAUGCAGGCUCAAAUAGCUGAAGAGAGCCAGAUUCGAAUUGAACUGCAGAUGACACUGGACAGUAAAGACAGUGACAUUGAGCAGCUGCGGUCCCAGCUCCAAGCCUUGCAUAUUGGUCUGGAUAGUUCCAGUAUAGGCAGUGGACCAGGGGAUGCUGAAGCAGAUGAUGGGUUCCCAGUUCAUAUCACUCAGUCACACACUAUGGAAUCCAUGUCAUUCACCUACCAACGUUCCUCUACUUCUCUCAAUAUUGCCACUAAGCCUUCCAGUUCUCAUAUGCUUCUUGACUCUGAUUCUGACUCAGAAGAAGAAUCUGUGCAUUAUUUACCUAUUUCAUCGGAAUCUAAUGGUACAGAAUCAAGACUAGAAGGAUGGCUUUCAUUGCCUGUGCGAAACAACACUAAGAAAUUCGGAUGGGUUAAAAAGUAUGUGAUUGUGAGUAGUAAGAAGAUCCUUUUCUAUGACAGUGAACAAGAUAAAGAACAAUCUAAUCCUUACAUGGUUUUAGAUAUAGACAAAUUAUUUCAUGUACGACCAGUUACACAGACAGAUGUAUAUAGAGCAGAUGCUAAAGAAAUCCCAAGGAUAUUCCAGAUUUUGUAUGCCAAUGAAGGAGAAAGUAAGAAGGAACAAGAAUUUCCAGUGGAGCCAGUGGGAGAAAAGUCAAAUUACAUUUGCCACAAAGGACAUGAAUUUAUUCCCACUCUCUAUCAUUUCCCAACCAACUGUGAGGCAUGUAUGAAGCCAUUAUGGCAUAUGUUUAAACCUCCUCCUGCUUUAGAGUGCCGUCGCUGCCAUAUUAAAUGUCAUAAAGAUCACAUGGAUAAAAAGGAGGAAAUUAUAGCACCUUGCAAAGUGUAUUACGAUAUUUCAUCGGCAAAGAACCUAUUGUUAUUAGCAAAUUCUACAGAAGAGCAGCAAAAGUGGGUUAGUCGGCUAGUGAAAAAAAUACCUAAGAAGCCUCCAGCUCCAGACCCUUUUGCACGGUCCUCUCCUAGAACUUCAAUGAAGAUACAACAAAACCAGUCUAUUAGACGGCCAAGUCGACAGCUUGCCCCGAACAAACCAAGUUCUGGGCCUGCCCUUCGAAUCAUUCUUCAUUGAUUUUUUUAAUACAUUUUGCAUAGCAACAAUUGCUUGAUUUGGCAUUUAAAGACUGGGAUUGGUCAUUUGAUGAUAUUGAUGGUGGUGAUGAUGAUGGCGAUGUUUUUGAUUUCUGAAGAAGUAAAUGGGCUAACUGCCUUCUGUGAAUGCAGUCAUUAUUCAAGGUGAUCAUAUUCUUCCAGUUGAAACAAGACUGAAAUAUGAUGGCCCCAAAGUUAUUAAAAAGCUAUAUUUUCCUGAGAGACUGAUACACACACACACACACAUAUAUAUAUAUGUGUGUGUGUGUGUGUAUAUAUAUAUAUAUAUAUAUAUAUAUUCCCUGUAUUCCUGCAAUAUAAAUUAUAAAUCUUGGAUAGAUUUGUUGGGCUCCUUUGGAGCAGCAAGUUGAACCAACAGUGAUUGGUUAGUAGAGUAAGAAUAUCAUGUGCAACUCUUCCCAACUUGCUCCAUGAAGCUCUCUUGGCAGUCACUCACACUACACGGACUGAGAAGAGUUAAAGUUGAAGAAAUCAUCCUUGCAGCUUCAACAGAGAGAUUUCACCAGCAAACCUGCCAGAAGAAUCUGGGAAUGGAUUCCACUACACUGAUAGAGACUGCAUCUUCAAGAAGUGACCAUUAUACUGUGUGUGUGUGCGUGCGUGUGUGGAUAUGUAUAUCCUCACACACAUGCACACAUGCACACAUAUGUAUAGUACUGUAAUACUGCAAGAGGGUUUUUUUUUAACUUCCCACUUUAUUUUUUUAUAAACAUUAAUCAGAUAUCAUUACUUACUGCAGUUGCAACUAUGCACUUGUAUAAAGCCAUAAUGUUGGAGUUUAUAUCACUCAUCUGUGUGUACCUGAUGGAAGCUGCAUGUUCAUAUUUAAGCAAUUACUAUAACAAGAAGUUUGAAGUUAAUUAUAUCAGUUUCCUAAUGCUUCAUAGUAGGCAACUCUACCCGUUUUGAAUGCCUUAAUUUAAUUUUUUUUCCAAAAUCUCAACCCUUUUCUGUAUUUAAAAAAAGAACAAGUGUUUACCAGCUCUUAGGAUGCAAAUUUGCUUUGCAGAAGAAAAAUAGUGCACUAUUUUUACACGUAAUAGUUAUCAAUGUCAGCCUAUUUUGAUUGUAUAACAAUUUUUUUUUAAGUAUUGGUGAUAGAAACAGUAAUAGAUAGUAUUGGAACUAAUAUAUCUUUUAUGUAUAUCUAUUAUUCAUCCAGCCUUUUUUACAGACCUCAGUAUUAGUGUGUGACUAUGAAACAUUUUCUUUGCUUUUAAUUUACUGGCUACCCUAGGUGUGUUUUUAUUUCUGAUAAAGACAUUUGUGACUAUUUUUACAUUUUCACAUUCAAGAUUCAAAAAAUUAUCUCGAAUUUAAAAAAAUGAAGACAUACUGUAGAUAUAUUUUAAAUAUUUAAAUGUGAUCCAUUAAACACACAGCUGUGUAUGGCAAUAUUUCAGUACUGGGUUAAGAAAACUGGUGACUGGGAAGAAGUGGCCUUAGAGGCACUUAACUUUAUUUUUAUUUUUUUAAAUGCUGUUAAAGUUACAGUUUAUGCAGGACUAUUCCUGCUAUAUUUCUCAUUCCAGAAAAGUAUAUGUUUUAUACUGCUACAGUAUGCAUCGGUGAUAAGAAUCAAGUAAAAAAUGAUGUAGUGUUUUAUCAGUCUCUCUUUAUACACAUUCAACUACAGAGUUUGGUGUGAUAAUGAAAUAUAUCAUCUAAUAUUUCAAUGAAGGAAGUAGACAUUUUUCAUUGAUUCCUUCUGGGGUCAGUGCAGAAGUGUUUAAAGAGUUGGAUCCCCAAUUAUAGAUACUGUUGUGGAAAUUGAAGAGUGGCCUUUGGCUACGGAUGUACUGAAACUGAAUCUUGUUAUUACAUUUUCCAGUCUGCACUCUUUCAUGCUGUCUGUGCUGAAACUAGAUAUGCAUGCCAUUUCCCUUGCAGGUAUGUUCUGGUUUUGGGGGCACAGCUUUUUUUUUUUUUAAGUGAAAUUAAAAAGUGAAAAAUAUAUAAAAUUUAUAUAGAAUAAAUAUUUCCAUUCAUUAGACUUGUUAAAAGGAGACUGAAUUAAUAUUUUAUAUAAAGAUUUUGUUACACUAUGGGAGGUUCUAUCAUAUUAUUCUGAAUUGGAGAGUAUAUAUAUAUAUAUUUUUAAUAAACUUUAUUAAGGUGAAAUAAUUUGAAGUUUACACAUGAGUAAUUGAAAUAUUUGAGUAAACAUGGCAAAAGUUUAAAUUCUGAAUGCUGUAUAUAUUAGGGAAUAUGGAGAAUGAUGGUGUGAUGCAACUAUACAGGGAAAAUUAAUGUGAAGUUUUUUUGGGGGAAAAAAUUACUCUAAGGGGCAAAAAAAAAAUCUCUCCAUGGAGAUUCUUCACAUUAUAUGGUUUGAAAUAAGGAUUUAUAAGGUUGUUUGUCCAACUAAUGGAAAUGCGCUUAAUAAAAAAUUCUGACCUUGGGUAAGAAUUUGCUUUAUACUCUGUUGCUGGUUUCAUAUACGUACACGAGUGCAUGCACCAUCCAAAUGCUCUCUUCCCACCGCUCACUAAAGAUGACGUUGACUUGGUUGAAAAACCUAAUUUUGUGCCAGCUUCUCUUUUUCUUGAGGCUCCAAAGCUUCCAAGAUAAAUGUAAGACCAAAAGUUGCUAAUGUCCUCACACCUGAUUUCUCCUAGAGCCAUAAAUACCUCCUUUUGAGAACUAAGUAGUGAUACUGGGAUUUUCUCAGUUGGAUUUUUUACUUUUGUGGGAAUAAUGAGAGUAGAGGGAAAACCGGUGCCAGGAUUACUGUUAAGAAUUAAUGUACAGUGCAUUUUUGAAAAGUAUUAAUUAAAAAAAUUUAUCUAGAAGCAAGAUUUUUUAAAAAAAUCUAUCUGAAAGUUUAAAAUGCUCUCACUAAAGGAUAAGUAUACCAAUAAAUCUAAAGUAAAGGUUAGUGUUUUUAGAACUAACCGACGCUAGAGUUACACCAUUCUGUUGCCGACGGGUCUCCUUUAUACCAGUUUAUCUGUAGAUCCUCAAGAAGAAACUCUAGGUUGCCAAAUGACAAUUUCAGAAGUUAUGCUGCUGCUGUUAAUCUAUUCUUCCAGGAUUCGGGUGGUAAAUAGAGAAACUUAGACACUAUAUUACCUUAUUGAAACAUGCUUUAAAUAACAUGUUUCUAAAAUCUGACGUGGGCAAGUCACUUCGGAGUUUCUCAGCCUGUGUCGUCACUGCUACUGACUCAGCUCUCCUCCCGUGGAGUAAGACUUCAGUUUCCCUGUGUUGUGAAGAUACCAUAGUUGGUUUGUAAAGCACUUUGAAGAUAAGCACUGUAUGACAGUGCUGAAUAUUAUGCUUGGGGGGCCUCUCCGUGAUUCCCUUCCCCAUAAUAAUGAAUUUUGUUUGGAACUGUAAUAACUUAUGAACUGCAUGGUUUAGAUAAUCAUAAAUAUUUGAUCAGCUGUCCCCUUGAACGAAAAUCAUACCCCCCUGAUUUUUUAAAAAUUUUGUUGCAUCUUUGUAGUAAUGUAAUUGUAUUUUAUGCCUGCUUUUUAUAUUAAAAAUAAAUAAAAGAAAUUGAGACAAG